rnacentral:rRNA from 1 species
UACGUAGGAUGCAAGCGUUGUCCGGAAUUAUUGGGCGUAAAGAGCGCGCAGGCGGUAUGACAAGUCAGAUGUGAAAGAGGCCGGCUUAACCGGCAAGGGUCAUUUGAAACUGUCAGACUAGAGUGCAGCAGAGGAUAGUGGAAUUCCCGGUGUAGUGGUGAAAUGCGUAGAUAUCGGGAGGAACACCAGUGGCGAAGGCGGCACUCUGGGACGGUACUGACGCUGAGGAGCGAAAGCGUGGGUAGCAAACAGG